rnacentral:rRNA from 1 species
GACGAACGCUGGCGGCGUGCUUAACACAUGCAAGUCGAACGGAAAGGCCCUGCUUUUGUGGGGUGCUCGAGUGGCGAACGGGUGAGUAACACGUGAGUAACCUGCCCUUGACUUUGGGAUAACUUCAGGAAACUGGGGCUAAUACCGGAUAGGAGCUCCUGCUGCAUGGUGGGGGUUGGAAAGAUUCGGCGGUUGGGGAUGGACUCGCGGCUUAUCAGCUUGUUGGUGGGGUAGUGGCUUACCAAGGCUUUGACGGGUAGCCGGCCUGAGAGGGUGACCGGCCACAUUGGGACUGAGAUACGGCCCAGACUCCUACGGGAGGCAGCAGUGGGGAAUAUUGCACAAUGGGCGGAAGCCUGAUGCAGCAACGCCGCGUGCGGGAUGACGGCCUUCGGGUUGUAAACCGCUUUCGCCUGUGACGAAGCGUGAGUGACGGUAAUGGGUAAGGAAGCACCGGCUAACUACGUG